rnacentral:rRNA from 1 species
AGCGAACGCUGGCGGCAGGCCUAACACAUGCAAGUCGAACGAAGUCUUCGGACUUAGUGGCGGACGGGUGAGUAACCCGUCGGAACGUGCCUUUAGGUUCGGAAUAACUCAGGGAAACUUGUGCUAAUACCGAAUGUGCCCUUCGGGGGAAAGAUUUAUCGCCUUUAGAGCGGCCCUCGUCUGAUUAGCUAGUUGGUGGGGUAAAGACUCACCAAGGCUACGAUCAGUAGCUGGUCUGAGAGGAUGACCAGCCACAUUGGGACUGAGACACGGCCCAAACUCCUGCGGGAGGCAGCAGUUGGGAAUCUUGCGCAAUGGGCGAAAGCCUGACGCAGCCAUGCCGCGUGGAUGAUGAAGGUCUUAGGAUUGUAAAAUCCUUUCACCGGUGAAGAUAAUGACUGUAGCCGGAGAAGAAGCCCCGGCUAACUUCGUGCCAGCAGCCGCCGCAGUAA